UCUCUCUGUGGAUUUUGAAUUUUCGGAUAUAAAAUUUGAAAUGUUUGCUGGGAGAAUGUGUCGUAUGAACGCGACGAGGCUUGCAGAAAGCCACUGAGUUUUGAUGGAUUUGACUCUUUGUUCUUGUACAGAAGAUUAUACUGGUGUCAUACCACAUUAGAUGGCUUUUCUUUUGACAGUGAGAAUGUGGAAAGAAAGGACAAAAUCAGAGUGGAAGAGUUUUCUUGUGACUAUGAUGGGAAGAAACCGGUUUUGCUCACUGGAUUAGCUGAUGCAUGGCCUACAAGGCGUACAUGGACACUUGACCACUUAUUGCAGAAUUAUGGAGACACAGCUUUCAAGAUUUCUCAAAGGAGCUCACUGGAUUAGCUGAUGCAUGGGCUGCA